rnacentral:rRNA from 1 species
AUGAGAAUGGUCACAGACGUGACACUUGUCUGACCGCUAAAAAGAUGAGUAGACAGGCAAGCCACAAUAUGAAUGAACUAAUUUUUAGAACCUCCC